CGGAUAAAAGCUACCCCGGGGAUAACAGGCUGAUCGCGCCCAAGCGUCCACAGCGACGGCGCGGUUUGGCACCUCGAUAAUCCCAAGAAAGUCGAGGGAAUAAAGUGACUCAUAACGGUGAAGCCCGACUGGACAUUUGGUAUUUGUUCGGUUAGAAUAUACCUAUGUACAAGGGUGAUACCGUGGGAAGUCUCGAAGCUGUUCAUUGGCACAAGAAAUGGAGAGAUAUUAAGCCUUCUUUGUCUCUAACUAAGACACAGGAAUCGCUGAUUAUAGGCUCUCUGCUUGGCGAUGGAACUAUGCGUAUUGGCAAAGGAAGUGUCAAUGCUAACUUUAAAGUUGAACAAGGCCUUAUACAAAAAGCCUAUGUUUACUGGAAGUACGAGCAUCUGCAAAACUUUGUCUACACUGAACCAAAAAUCAGUUAUCGGUACACCAUUGAUGGCGAAAAGUACCCCAAAUCCUGGUGGUUCCGAACCAUUCGACAUCCUCAAAUUACUGAUAUUUACCACAAGUUUUAUCAGGGUGAAGAAUAUCGAUGCGGAAGGAAAUAUAUGCCAGAUGAUAUUGGUAAGUAUCUUGAUCCGUUGGUAAUGGCUGUCUGGAUAAUGGAUGAUGGUUCAUAUCAGAACGGGAGAAUUGAUAUUAGCUCUUACUGCUUUCUUCUUGAAGAAGUGGAAAAGCUCAUUCAAAUUAUUGCGGAGAAAUUUGCGAUUACUAUGCAAUAUUAUCGUGACCGAGAUAAGGGAUACAGGAUGUAUACCCGGACGCAGGAAACGAAAAAGCUAGUUGCGCUGAUUAAUCCAUAUAUAAUCCCCUCUAUGAUGUAUAAAGUGGGCUUCGUGACCCCGUAACGACUGGAUUCUUGUAAACACAAGAAGAAGAUUUCGCUAUGUCAGUGUUGAUUCGGGCGAAAUAACACGUCACUGCCUAAAUGACGCAGUUUAGGUAAAGGUAUAGUCUGUACCAUUAGUAAUAAUGGAGUAUACGGUCGGCUCGUCCUAUCCUGGGGCUGGAGAAGGUCCCAAGGGUUUGGCUGUUCGCCAAUUAAAAGGGUACGCGAGCUGGGUUCAGAACGUCGCGAGACAGUUCGGUCCUAAUCUUCUGUGGGCGUGGAAACUUGCGAAGGACUCCCUCUAGUACGAGAGGACCGAGGGGGACCAACCUCUGGUGUGCCUGUUGUCGUACCAACGGCAGUGCAGGGUAGCUAUGUUGGGUUUUGGAUAAGCGCUGAAAGCAUAUAAGCGCGAAGCCGGCUUCAAGAUUAGGUUUCUAGAUCGGUUGUAGAUAACGACCUUGAUAGGCACUAGGUGUAAGACGGGUAACCGUUUCAGCCGUGGUGUACUAAUUGAUCAUAUACCUUUACUCC
rnacentral:rRNA from 1 species